UACAGAGGAGCCAAGCGUUGUCCGGAUUGACUGGGCGUAAAGCGCACGCAGGCGGAUGCGCGCGUGGGGUGUGAAAUCUGGCCGCUUAACGGCCAGGCGCCAUCCCAUACGGCGCGUCUGGAGCCUUGCAGAGGUCGGUGGAAUUGCCGGUGUAGUGGUGAAAUGCGUAGAGAUCGGGAGGAACAUCAGUUGCGAAGGCGGCUCUCUGGACCAGCACUGACACUGAGGCACGAAAGCGUGGGGAGCAAACAGG
rnacentral:rRNA from 1 species